rnacentral:tRNA from 1 species
GUCCCCGUAGCUCAGCAGACAGAGUGGCUGAUUACGAAUCAGCAGGCCGCAGGUGCGAAUCCUGCCGGGGACACCA